UACAGAGGGUGCGAGCGUUAAUCGGAAUUACUGGGCGUAAAGCGCACGUAGGUGGCGACGUAAGUCGGGUGUGGAAGCCCCGGGCUCAACCUGGGAAUUGCAUUCGAGACUGCAUUGCUGGAGUACGGAAGAGGAAGGCGGAAUUCCCGGUGUAGCGGUGAAAUGCGUAGAUAUCGGGAGGAACAUCAGUGGCGAAGGCGGCUCACUGGCCCAUAACUGACGCUGAGGCACGAAAGCGUGGGGAGCAAACAGG
rnacentral:rRNA from 1 species